UGGCUGUGUGGCCCUGCUUUGGCAGAGCAC
rnacentral:sRNA from 1 species